ACUUCAUGGUUUGGACAUUGCAUGAUCAUAUCAAUAAAUCUUUCCCACACAUCAUACAAGGGCUAACCACUAAGUUAAUGAAAAUUUGUGAUUUUAUUCAUUAAUU
rfam:Capsicum annuum cultivar Zunla-1 chromosome 4, whole genome shotgun sequence